rnacentral:rRNA from 1 species
AUUGAACGCUGGCGGCAUGCCUUACACAUGCAAGUCGAACGGCAGCGCGGGAGCAAUCCUGGCGGCGAGUGGCGAACGGGUGAGUAAUAUAUCGGAACAUACCCAGUCGUGGGGGAUAACUAUCCGAAAGGAUAGCUAAUACCGCAUACGUCCUGAGGGAGAAAGCGGGGGAUCUUCGGACCUCGUGCGAUUGGAAUGGCCGAUAUCUGAUUAGCUAGUUGGUGGGGUAAAAGCCCACCAAGGCGACGAUCAGUAGCUGGUUUGAGAGAACGACCAGCCACACUGGAACCGAGACACGGUCCAGACUCCUACGGGAAGCAGCAGUGGGGAAUUUUGGACAAUGGGGGCAACCCUGAUCCAGCAAUGCCGCGUGUGUGAAGAAGGCCUUCGGGUUGUAAAGCACUUUUGUCCGGAAAGAAAUCGCGCUGGUUAAUACCUGGCGUGGAUGACGGUACCGGAAGAAUAAGCACCGGCUAACUACGUGCCAGCAGCCGCGGUAA